ACUAUAUUUCGAAAUGGAUUUUCAUUUCAACAUAUCUCGCAGUUGCUGUAGCUGGCCUUUUACACAAUAUGAUAAGAAGCAAAAGCUAAAUCCUUUGCCGGAACGAAGACGAUUAAGGACAUUUGACAUAAAGCUAGAAGAGAAUGAACAUAUGAAUCAUUUUACAAGGGGGAAGGAGUGGAGGGCGAGAUGGAGGAGGGCUCGCGAGCUGGAGAGGGUUUCAGCUGCCAUGUGAGCGAGAUCGCAACGAGAACUUAGCUCGCAGGGUUGAAGGAGAAAGGGGUGAAAGUGUAAUUAUUUCUAGGGCCGUUCAUAUUAUGGUCCAAACCGAGAAAACCGAGAAACCGGACCGAUUUUGGACCGAAACCGAGUAGAACCGAGAUCAUCGGUCCAGUCCACGGUUCCUUAAUUUCAUGUCAUUCGGUUCUCGGUUCGGUCCCUGUUAAACCGAGAAAACCUUCGGUUUGGACCGAACCGAGGUAUAUGUUGCCUAUAAUUCAAAUUUUCAAAUAUUCAAUAUAAGUUUAAGCAGGGAUUUUGAGACUUUUUAAUUGUGACAAGUAUUUUUCUUAUUAUUUGGUGUUUUUGAGACUUUAUUUGCUACUAAGAUUGACACUUUCUGUACUAUUGAGCUUAAUCUUAUUUUUUGAAGCA